UUCCUUUGAGUUUCAGCCUUGCGACCAUACUCCCCAGGCGGAACACUUAACGCUUUCGCUACGGCCGAGAGGAUGUGGAAGUCCCCUCAACCCAGUGUUCAUCGUUUACGGCUAGGACUACCGGGGUAUCUAAUCCCGUUCGCUACCCUAGCUUUCGUGCCUCAGCGUCAGAAAAGAUCCAGUGAUGCGCUUUCGCCACCGGUGUUCCCUAUGAUAUCAACGCAUUUCACCGCUCCACCAUAAGUUCCCAUCACCCCUAUCUUCCUCGAGCUUGGGGGUUUGAAACGCAAUUCCACGGUUGAGCCGUGGGCUUUCACAUCUCACCUACCAAGCCGCCUACGCACGCUUUAAGCCCAGUGAUACCGAAUAACGUUUGGACGGUUCGUCUUACCGCGGCUGCUGGCACGAACUUAGCCCGUCCUUCCUCUGAAGAUCGGUCAACCAUGAGAGAUAACUCUCAUGGACUUCCUAACUACUGACAGCGGUUUACAACCCGAGGGCCUUCAUCCCGCACGCGGCGUCGCUCGGUCAGACUUUCGUCCAUUGCCGA
rnacentral:rRNA from 1 species